rnacentral:lncRNA from 1 species
AUGCUCCGGGGGAGGACUCAGUUCACCUCGGAGGCCUCCAUCAGCUGCACGAUAUUAUCUCACAGAUCAGAAAGUGCCUCGUUGGGAAGGCAAUUCUCGAGCAUCCCCAGCACAUGGAGAAGGAGGAGUAAGAAAUGCCACCGCUGGCAGCAGUGCCUGGAAGCUCUGCGUUCAGCGGGGGCCCCAGCAUGCGAGGCGGCUCCUCCCGGCCUCGGCCUCCUCCACCGGGGAUGUGGUGGCCGAGAGGCAGCGGGGACGCGGAGCCCGGUGGCGGGUGCUGAGGGGGAAGGGCUGCUGGCUGCUCUGCUAUUAAAAAGUGCCUCCCUGCCACUGGAGAGUUCUCAUCCGGCCGCUCCCGGGAAAUGUACCCCCUCCAUACCGCUGAGAGCAUCGGCGUUCGGAACGGGGAAGGGAUCUGCCUGUCCUCGGCGAUAGGAACAUGCAGCCCUUUGUCUCUCUAGACAAGACGGCGAGAACGAGAAUUGCCUGGUCCACACCGUGCUUUCCAAGUUUUUCUGUUCUCCUGGCCGGACUCCUCUGCUGGUCUCGGGGAAAGCGAGUGAAGGACCGAGCUGGAAAAAAUCCUCGCUGCCAGAAUCCUUGCCAUCCUUGAGUUAAUAAAACACGAACCAGCCGUGGGUCGGAGUUCCCG